UACGUAGGUGGCAAGCGUUUGUUCGGAAUUAUUGGGCGUAAAGGGCGCGUAGGCGGUUUGUUAAGUCGGUCGUGAAAGCCCGGGGCUCAACCCCGGAGGGUCGACCGAUACUGGCAGACUAGAGUACAGAAGAGGUAACUGGAAUUCCCGGUGUAGCGGUGAAAUGCGUAGAUAUCAGGAAGAACACCCGUGGCGAAGGCGGUUCUCUGGGACGGUACUGACGCUGAGACGCGAAAGCGUGGGGAGCAAACAGG
rnacentral:rRNA from 1 species